rnacentral:rRNA from 1 species
GGUUCCUUAGAUCGUACAUGCUACAUGGAUAACUGUAGUAAUUCUAGAGCUAAUACAUGCCACUAUGCCCUGACCCGCAAGGGAACGGGUGGAUUUAUUAGAACAGAACCAACCGGGAGCGGCUUCGGUCGUUCCUGUUGUACUCUGUGAUGACUCUGGAUAACUUUACUGAUCGCAGUCGGCCUUGUGUCGGCGACGGAUCUUUCAAAUGUCUGCCCUAUCAACUUUCGAUGGUAGGUGAUCUGCCUACCAUGGUGAUAACGGGUAACGGGGAAUCAGGGUUCGAUUCCGGAGAGGGAGCCUGAGAAACGGCUACCACAUCCAAGGAAGGCAGCAGGCGCGAAAAUUACCCACUCCCGGCACGGGGAGGUAGUGACGAAAAAUACGAAUACGGGACUCACUCGAGGCUCCGUAAUUCGAAUGAGUACAAUCUAAAUCCUUUAACGAGGACCAAUUGGAGGGCAAGUCUGGUGCCAGCAGCCGCGGUAACUCCAGCUCCAAAAGCGUAUAUUAAAGUUGCUGCAGUUAAAAAGCUCGUAGUUGGAUCUGGGUCGCGCGUUCACAUGUCGUUGCUUGGUUCUGAUUUCGGUCAGUUUCAGGUUAUGAUAAAGUGGUCGUGCAGCCUUUCAGCCGUGUCUGCGUAAGCAGGUGUUGGCUGGCCAGUGGGCUUGCUCGCUGGUCAGUUGGCAUGUUUC